GCUAGAGCAGAGCCCUGCAGAGAAAGACUGCUAUUUUACAUGUCAAUUUCAGAACCAAAGCAUCUGCUACCUUACUAAUAUGUAUAUUUAAUGUCUUUGCAUAAUGUGCAGAAUUAUAUGCUGUUCAUUGCCUGUUUGUUCUGAUAUGAGGUACUCUUAAGUAGCAUUAUUUUAAAUUAUUCCCCUUAAAAAAUACGGGAUUCUUUUAUCAGGUCUCCUCCCUGGUGCUGUCUCUAACAGAAGGUCCAAACUAGCAGCAUACAGACUACUGAACAAUCAUGACUCAGAGAAAUGUAAUCAAACAUGACAAGUUUCUGGCCUGUAAUUACUAACAAUUUACUUUGAAUUCUAGGCUCCCAGGAUACGAUUUUACAUUAGGUUGCCAUAGGGGAGGAAGGUCUUGGGGGAGAGGUGUUAAGUUUUUAACAGCUAUUAGUAAACCCAGAAUAUUUGAACUGUUGUUUUUCUGGAAAGGCUGAUGUUCAAAGUCAUAUUUCUAGCAAGUCUCUGUCUUAUCAGCAACUCACUCCGUGUUAAACAUACAGGGUUUUUUUUUCUAUAAAUUGUUGUACCACGUGUCACUGAAUAAGCCUCUGAAUGGGGUGUGGAGGGGUUAGCUUUAAACUUUCUAGUCCUCAUCCUACAGAUUAUAAUUGGUUUUGUUCAUUAACCUUCAUAUUGAGCAGGAAGGUGAGAAUAUUCAGUAUUUUAAGAAGUACCCUAAAUGCCAGUAUUAUACUAGUCAAAUCUAUGUAAUACUAGAUGUACGAUAAAGAAUUAAUGUAGGUGUUAACAAAAUUAAUAAAAGUGCCACAUUGGCACAAUCAUCUGGACCGCUUUACCAGUUAGUAUUGCUCUAACAGGACAUGCUUAGAUGAAUAAAUAAGGUCACUCUAGCUUUAUCAAUCAUCCACAUUGGUUAACAAAUACUGCAUUCGGUUACAGAAGGCAACUAGCAGAUUUUGGUUUUGUAUGUAGUCGGAUGCGAAUAUACGCCUGUUGGUAUGAUGAAGAUACAGUGGCCAUGUGAGGUGCCCACAGUGAAUGACUGGCAUUGUACCAUAUGUUUUUACCCAAAGUCCAAAACAUGAGGCCUAAAAAUCUGGUCAUAAACUUUAAAAGAUUAAUAGAUAUUCCUCUCAGAUGUGUAAGUUUAGAUGCCACAAAUUCAAACAAUAAAUCUAUCAGUGCAUGUCCAUUACCAUUCACCCCACAUGUCUUUCAGAAGCUCCCAAGCAGGUGUGUGGCUGUUGAAGCAACCGUAGAGCCUCUACUUCCCUUCCCUUAUGUUGCAGUGUCUUUUUUGCUUGGUUUUAGUAUAACUUUCCAGCAGCUAAUGUAGUUAGCAGUGUGUGCAAUCUGAAGCAGAUGUUCAUACUCCUUUAGCCUUCUUCUGCUCUCCGCUAGAGGAGGGAGGCAGAGCAAGAUCCAAGAACAGUUUCUGGUCAACUGGCAAAACACAACUUAGACGAUGGGCAGUAGAAAUGAGUGCAGGCUGAUAAAUAUUUUUGAUUAAAGCCAUUAAGAAUAUUUCAGGUUGGAAAUCAUUAUAACCUGGGAAGACAAGCCAGUUACACCGUUUUUAUAGUAUCAUCAAAAAAAACUAGUUCUAUUUCUGAGGAGCAGAAGCCAUUAAGGUACUUCUACUUUCAGGCACUUACAACUACAAUUUUACAUCUGUUAUAUAUUUAACAUCUAUCCUCCCUCUAGAAGGUAUGCUCCAGAAAACUAGGGUCACCCAUGUGUCCCAGCAUAAUGUCUAAUAUUUGAUAAUGAUGACUCAAUAAAUAUUUGUUGUGAAUGCAUGUGAACAUGAAUGCUAGACAUAAGCAAUCUGAAAUUAGUAGGAACUAUCAUACGAACCCACGGAACUAGACAGAACCUAUCAUCAAACCAGAAAAGAGCUGAUGGUGACCAAGACUUCCAUGAAUAAGCUAGUUCACAAUCUGAUUAAUGUCACAAUCUGAGGCUACAGAAGCUUUAUAUAUUUAAUGAAUAGUAUGGCACCCACCUAGCAAAGAUUUUAACAAAUAAACCCUAACAACAACAUACACGUAUGGAAGAAAAACUAAACCUGGAGAAAAUAUUCUCCAACACUGUAUCAAACCUGCAAAAUUUAAGACUAAAAUUACCACCACUGUAUUGUUUAGUUCAAACACUUGUCAGGUGAUGUCUAAAUUCCUACCAACAUCUCAUCUGGUGAUAAUUAAAUCGUGACUAAAGUUUUUUUUUAAUAUGUAAGUAAUUGUUCAUCUUAGAUAUACAUUACGGGUUAGACACCAGAAAGUAAAUUUUAGUUAUCUUUAAUCCCAUCUUUAAUCAGCAUUUCAAAAACAAAAUUAAGUUCUUUGUGAUCUAAAACCACCACAAACCAACAACCUGAGAAAACAUAAUAAAUCAGCCUCUUAUUUAAUCAACAAUGAUUUUAACAUGUAAUCCUUAACAGUUGUUUAAAAUAUGCAUAACUAGGUUUGCAAUAGUUAUCCUGAUUUAAAGCAAAAGCACAUCUGUUUAUGAGUAAGUAAAUAUAGUCUGACAGCAAUUUGGAACAUCUAUCAGAAGGAAUCAACUGCAAGCUUAAUAAGCAUUAUUUGUAUUCCACAUAAUACUCUAUUUGUUCUUUCUAGCCACUGCAGUAAUAAAACACACUGAAACUCAUUUAGUGUGCACUAAAUCCAAUGUACCUAGGCAAAACACUGAAAAUUUCAUUUGGAUGGUUCCCAGACCAUAUAGCCUAACUUUUUAAAGUAUUACUACCAUCUGGUUACUAGUCUGUGUUUACCAAAACAGUAGCUGUGCACACAUUUCUGUAGCAGCUGUGGUCAAAAGCUUUAAAUCAUUUGGCUACAUGAAAACUCUUCAAGGAAAAAACAAAUACAGUAUUUUGAAUUUAUAUCUAAAAUUAAGUUCCAUUACUGAUUUUAAUAACAUUCCCCAAGAACAAAAAUAGUAAGAUUUUAAGUGGUAUUUGAGACAUCUUAAUUACUUAUAUUUUCUAUCAUUUAUCAAAUGACAAAAGGUCCACAGAACUCAAGUGAAUUACCCAAGGUCACAUGACUAGUUAGUAGCUAGACAAUGUCCAGAACAUGAUUAUCUUUUGGUUUCCAGAACAAGGGUCUUUUCAUAAAAUUGCUCCAACCAAAUACUGAAAUAUUAGAAACAGAAUUAUGUAAAGGGAAAAUACCAUUUACUAAAUCCAAGUUAAGAUUAUUUUAAAAGCCAGCAUUUUCAUAAAAUAUAACAGCUCAUGACAAAUUAUAAAAUCUGACUUGUAUUUGUUUCCUGUGGUAAAAGCUUAAAGGAUCUUAUGAAAUUUAUAAGAAUUUGCUUUCAUAAACCUUUUCCUUCCUUUUUACUUUCUUCUCCCUCCCAACCUCUCCUCCAUAAAUAAACAGUUAAACUAGGUCUACAAACCAAUCCCAUGUUUGGUCAAAAGUAAUUCCUUAGCUCUUACACACAUCCUUAUGUUCGCCUUUCUACUAUAGUAUAACUACAUGCCACAUUGUACGCCUGUAAAUAGAAAGUCUUUUACAACUAUCAAACUUCUAAAUGAUUCCGUCACUCCUAAAAAUCAAACAUAAUCCCCAAAUAUAAAUCAAUGCGGAAAUGUUCUAUGCCUUGCUUAGACAGGAAUGAAAGGCAAUAAGACAAAUGUACCUAAUAGAAUUCGUCUGUUGUCACAGUACUACCAAUUUAAACUUAAGAAAAACAAAAUUUCAGAACAUAAUGGUGACUCUUUUAAGCUUAUUUGGGUUAAUGACAAAAAAUGUUUUGACAAAAAAUGAACUGUUUCCUUCUUUAAUGCCUUUUCACGACACCUAAGAAGAAAAACCAAACAAACAAUCCACCAAAAUAAAGCACAUGUUUCACUCUUCUAUGUGGAGUAUUAAACUUUCAAAGGAAAUAAUUGGAUAUUAAACUAUUUGGGGAUAAGUGUAUAGAAGGGUUGAUUUGUAUUUAUAGGUGGACUGUUUUUUACUUUGUUGGCUUCCUGAUUACGGGUCAUUUAUUUUAGAACAUGAGAAACCAAUGAAAAACUGAAACUCAGAAUUUUUAUUUACUUCCUUACAUAACCAGGAAAAGAAGAGUUGGUACCUGUGGACAACAUCUAGAACAAACAAGGGAGACGUUAACAUCAUCACUAUUGAGACAAAUGUACAACAGGGUUUACACUUCUACAUCCAUGUCGUAGGUGCCUCUCAACAAACAUCCUUACAGAGUUGUCAAUGGACUAGAACAAGCAGUAUUAUUUCCAUCUGACAGAUAACGAAACUCAGGAAGGUUAGAUGACACAUCAGGGCCACGGCUACUUAACCAGCUGUGGUGAAAACCAAAGUCCUUAGGUGCCAAGUCCAGCAGUCAUUCCACAACAGUCCCUCAGUUCAUUUCACUCAUUGCAAUUAAUUUGCAACAAGAAUAAUAGAAAAGCUACGUGCAAUGCCUCACUCUGCUCAUGUACUGUUUUUGGUCUUCCUUUCUCUCUUCCAACCCAGUGACUCAACUACAUUUGGGCCCAACACUGGGCUGAGAAGCCAGGCGUGUACUUCCUACACACAUCUAUAGAUUCUAUAAACUGAAGCCUAUGGUUUGUUUUGCACAGGUGGUUGGGAUUCCAUUUAACCACUUGUGUAUAUACAAUUCCUUCUCAAUUCAAACCUAGCACAGGCUGAAGUUUCAUGUUUUAGAGAGGAGGGAAGCAAAAUUGUUUUGAAAUUCUCUGUGAAAAACAGCCUGUUGUAUUAGAACAAACAGCAGCUUGUUCCUAUCAUUCCUUUGUUUGACAAGUCUGGGCUGGCUAGAAAGGUCAUUUAUGCCUCAAAGCAUCAAAUUAACAUUUGAAGACAUGAAUUUUAAAAAUGGCUAUUUGCUUCUGUUCCGUGAAUGGCUAAUGCAGUUCACAAAAAAAGGAAAGAAAAACCCACUGCAGUUUAGCCAAGUCCCAAAACAGACUAAAAACCAGUAACAAAAACAGAAAAAGGAAACCCAAAACUUUCCCCAGGCAAACUGAGCACUGAUUUUAUGUCCACGCCAACACAAGGUAUCCCUUAAUUAAGUCUCAUUCUUUAAGAAAAGAAUUAAGAAAGUAGCUGAAAUGGUCAAAUGUUUACAUAAUUCAGGCGGGGGGUGGGUGGAGGGAGGUCACUAUUUAAUUAUUGUAAAAUGACUUUCCGCCAUAUCAAAAGGUUCUUCCAUCUUAACCCUCCUGCCCCAACACUAGCAAAGACUGUACAAGAUAAACUAACUUAGUACUGUCUUGGUUCAUACACAACAACUUUUUCAAAACAUGAAGCUCCUAUAUUAUUUUCCCAACACAGAUCUAUGUUCCUACAUAUGUGAAAUGUAAGCUAUCAUUACUAACUACAACUUCUACUACAUACAUAUGCAUUCAAGAUCAGAAAAUACUGAGCCUCAAUGGCUCAGUCGGUGGAGUAUCCAACUCUUGAUUUCAGCUCAGGUCAUGAUCUCACGGUUUGUGAGAUCGUGCCCCAUGUUGGGCUCUGCGCUGGAGACACAUGGAGCCUGUUUGGGAUUCUCUCUCUGCCCCUCCCUCGCUCACACUCUGUCUCUCUUUCAAAAUAAAUAUUCAACAGAAAAUACUCGGGGCGGGGGUGGGGAGCGGGCGCCUGAGUGACUCAGUCAGUUAAGUGUGUUGACUUCGGCUCAAGCCAUGAUCUUGCAGUUCAUGGGUUCGAGCCCCACAUCGGGCUCUGGGCUAACAGCUCAGAGCCUGGAGUCUGCUUCAGAUUCUGUGUCUCCCUCUCUCUCUGCCCCUCCCCUGCUCACGCUCUGUCUCUGUCUCUGUGAAAAAUAAACAUUUAAAAAAAAAAAGAAAAAAGAAGAGAAGAAAGUACUUUGGGUCCACUAGAAAGAACAAGGGAUGUAAAGUCUGAAAUUCACUGUACAGCCUUACAAAAGUGAUUCAUUCUUACUAUAACUCAUUUUCUACAGGCGGUAUGUAUACUGAGAAUACCACAAACGAGCUUCCUGAAUAUUAUAGGAAAUGUAACAUUUUAAAUUAGUACAAAUUAAUAUGAGAUAAUAUGAACAAUAUGGGAAAUAAAAUUUGAGAAUCUUACUAAUUCCCAAAGUAUUGUAAGAAAAUUUUGAGAAAAUUUAUAAAAUAUGAGGAAAAUUAUAAAACAUUACUGUAACAAUUCAAAAUAAUCUCUAAAAUGCAAAUUUAUUUUUAAAUAAUUACCUCACCGAGAAAUACCCUAUAAUAUUAUAUAUAGUUCAUAAAAUCAUGUCACAAUGAUGAUGUUGCCUCAAGUCACUUCCAACGUCUCCUCUUCUCACCUGCUUAACCCCUUGCAAUCUGUGUUCCAUUCCAAACAUCCCAUGGACAGGGAUAUCCUUUAGAGAUAAUUAAUAAUAAUCUCAUAAAUGUAAAGCACAAAGGUCUUUCAGGCCUCAUUUGCUCUGACAUCUCUACAACGUCUGACACUACUCCAUAAAACCUUCUAACCUGGCUUCUGCAAUACCGCACUGGCAUCCUUCUCCAUCAACCUGUCAAAACACCUCUUUCUCAGUACCUUUCACUUAGCAUUCAUGGAUCUAAAUGAUCCUAAGUAGGAGACUCAAACUUAAGAUCUGCCUUUCAUAUAUAUAUCUGCCCCACUGCACAAAUCGUAGGGGUGCCAAUCACACAAAUGACAAUGCAAACUGGUACCCACAGGAGCUGAGCAAUGGAGUGGACCUCUCCUGGGAUUGUUCUCAGCCUUACCAGGGAUAAGGCUUCCUUGUUAUGAACAACAACAUCCAUUCCCACACUUUCUACUACAAACUAUACAACAUACAAAAUACAUACACACACAACAGAUAUACAUACACUCAGUCCAGCAAGCUCCCAAAUCUGUAUCUUCAUCUCUGUUUUCUUCUGAUGACCAGUCCUUCCUACCCAAGUGUUUGGAGCUACCUCCAUAUAUACAAUAUAUAUUUAUAUCCACCUCUACUUUAUUCAUCUCCUGCCAAAACCAGUACCACUUUCCAGGCCAUGUCAGACUCCUUAAUUUCAUUCAUGUUGGCCACAGUGGAUCUUGCAAACGCCUUCCUCUACAUUCUCUCUUGCAUCUAUUGCUUCACCUUCAUUCCCAAAGCCCUUCUCUAAAUCAGGCUUUGCCUCUGACCUCAAUGGAUGAGCUCUCCCUGCCUGCUUCCGCCAUCUUGCCACUCCAAUCUACAUUGAUCUAAAGCACAGGUAGGAGCACUGCAUUCCCCUACGCUCAGACUAACUUUAUAUGCUACGCCAAAACUGUGACUCUAUUCUGUGGGAAAACUGAAGGCUUCAGAUUGUGACUCCCCCCCAUCUUCAUCUUUACAUUUUCUACCUCAUCCACUUUAUACACAUUGUCAUUUACUGUAUCAAGAAAUCUAAAAUUUUCCUCCAUUAAAUCCCCACAUAAAAAUUACUACAACACAGUCAUGUGAAGCAAAUCAACUCUGAUAUUUAUUAAUAAUUAACCAUGUCAAUGUACACGUUUCCAAUUAAAAUCAGCUUAUUAGUUGAACUAUUUAUUUCUAGAUUGCUUUUUUAAAUAUAUUUCAAUUAAAAAGCAAGAUACCCCAUGUUUAUGCAACAUUAUUUAAAAUAACAAACUAUGGAAGCAGCCCAAGUGUCUACCAAUAGAUGAAUGGAUAAAGAAGACACACACACAACACACACAUGUAUGCAUGUGUCAUAUAUGUAUAUGUGUGUCGUGCACAUGUAUGUGUAUAUAUCGUGGAAUAUUAGUCACCCAUAAGAAAGAAUGAAAUCUUGCCAUUUGCAACAACAUGGACAGAACUAAAGAGUAUAAUGCUAAGUUAAAUAAGUCGGUUAGAGAAAGACAAAUACCAUAUGAUCUUACUCAUAUGUGGAAUUUAAGAAACAAAACAAACGAGUAAAGAGAAAGAGACAAACUAAGAAACAGACUUUUAACUACAGAGAACAAACUGAUAGUUACUAGAGGGGAGCUGGGGAGGGAUAGGUGAAACAGGGGAUGGAUUUUAAAGAAUACACUUAUCAUGAUGAAAGAAAUAAAAUAAAAUAAACCAUCCAGCAAAGAAAGGAAUGAUCUGCCCAGUUUAAAAACAAAACAAAAAAGAAAAACAAGAUAAUCAUGCCACCUGAUCAAGGCAAGAAGCACAUCAUCACUCUCUAGAACAAACCCCCCUCCCCUUGCAUGAGCAGUGCUUCC